CACGUGGGCAACCUGCCCCUAGCACUGGGAUAACUCCGGGAAACCGGGGCUAAUACCGGAUAUGACCUCCGAGGGCAUCCUCGGAGGUGGAAAGGAUUCUGGCUAGGGAUGAGCCCGCGGCCUAUCAGCUAGUUGGUGGGGUAACGGCCUACCAAGGCGACGACGGGUAGCCGGCCUGAGAGGGCGACCGGCCACACUGGGACUGAGACACGGCCCAGACUCCUACGGGAGGCAGCAGUGGGGAAUAUUGCACAAUGGGCGAAACCCUGAUGCAGCCAUGCCGCGUGUGUGAAGAAGGCC
rnacentral:rRNA from 1 species